rnacentral:misc_RNA from 1 species
GAACUGCGAUAAGUAAUGUGAAUUGCAGAAUUCAGUGAAUCAUCGAGUCUUUGAACGCACAUUGCGCCCCCUGGCAUUCCGGGGGGCAUGCCUGUCCGAGCGUCAUUGCUGCCCUUCAAGCCCGGCUUGUGUGUUGGGUCGUCGUCCCCUCCGGGGGACGGGCCCGAAAGGCAGCGGCGGCACCGCGUCCGGUCCUCGAGCGUAUGGGGCUUUGUCACCCGCUCGAUAAGGACCGGCCGGGCGCCAGCCGGCGUCUCCAACCUUUUUUUCUCAGGUUGACCUCGGAUCAGGUAGGGAUAUCCGCUGAACUUAGGC